rnacentral:rRNA from 1 species
UUAGAGUUUGAUCCUGGCUCAGAUUGAACGCUGGCGGCAGGCCUAACACAUGCAAGUCGAGCGGCAGCGGGACCUUCGGGUUGCCGGCGAGCGGCGGACGGGUGAGUAAUGCCUAGGAAUCUGCCUGUUAGUGGGGGAUAACGCGGGGAAACUCGCGCUAAUACCGCAUACGUCCUACGGGAGAAAGUGGGGGACCUUCGGGCCUCACGCUAACAGAUGAGCCUAGGUCGGAUUAGCUGGUUGGUGGGGUAACGGCCCACCAAGGCGACGAUCCGUAACUGGUCUGAGAGGAUGAUCAGUCACACUGGAACUGAGACACGGUCCAGACUCCUACGGGAGGCAGCAGUGGGGAAUAUUGGACAAUGGGCGAAAGCCUGAUCCAGCCAUGCCGCGUGUGUGAAGAAGGUCUUCGGAUUGUAAAGCACUUUAAGUCGGGAGGAAGGGCUGUAGGUGAAUACCCUGCAGUCUUGACGUUACCGACAGAAUAAGCACCGGCUAACUUCGUGCCAGCAGCCGCGGUAAUACGAAGGGUGCAAGCGUUAAUCGGAAUUACUGGGCGUAAAGCGCGCGUAGGUGGUUUGGUAAGUCGGAUGUGAAAGCCCCGGGCUCAACCUGGGAACUGCAUCCAAAACUGCCUGGCUAGAGUACGGUAGAGGGUGGUGGAAUUUCCUGUGUAGCGGUGAAAUGCGUAGAUAUAGGAAGGAACACCAGUGGCGAAGGCGACCACCUGGACUGAUACUGACACUGAG